AACGAACGCUGGCGGCAGGCCUAACACAUGCAAGUCGAACGGUAGCACAGAGAGCUUGCUCUCGGGUGACGAGUGGCGGACGGGUGAGUAACGUCUGGGAAACUGCCCGAUGGAGGGGGAUAACUACUGGAAACGGUAGCUAAUACCGCAUAACGUCGCAAGACCAAAGUGGGGACCUUCGGGCCUCACACCAUCGGAUGUGCCCAGAUGGGAUUAGCUAGUAGGUGGGGUAAUGGCUCACCUAGGCGACGAUCCCUAGCUGGUCUGAGAGGAUGACCAGCCACACUGGAACUGAGACACGGUCCAGACUCCUACGGGAGGCAGCAGUGGGGAAUAUUGCACAAUGGGCGCAAGCCUGAUGCAGCCAUGCCGCGUGUAUGAAGAAGGCCUUCGGGUUGUAAAGUACCUUCAGCGGGGAGGAAGGCGGUGAAGUUAAUAACUUCACCGAUUGACGUUACCCGCAGAAGAAGCACCGGCUAACUCCGUGCCAGCCGCCGCGGUAA
rnacentral:rRNA from 1 species